rnacentral:rRNA from 1 species
CGAGCGCACCCACAUCCUUAGUUGCCAGCAGUUCGGCUGGGCACUCUAAGGAAACUGCCCGUGAUAAGCGGGAGGAAGGUGUGGAUGACGUCAAGUCCUCAUGGCCCCUACGGAUUGGGCUACACACGUGCUACAAUGGCAGUGACAAUGGGUUAAUCCCAAAAAACUGUCUCAGUUCGGAUUGUCGUCUGCAACUCGGCGGCAUGAAGUCGGAAUCGCUAGUAAUCGCGUAACAGCAUGACGCGGUGAAUACGUUCCCGGGCCUU